rnacentral:rRNA from 1 species
UGUCUGCUGGCUCGCAAGGGCAUGUGCACGCCUGUCUCAUCCACUCUCAACUUCUGUGCACUUUUCAUAGGCCGGCUUGUGGGUGCGUUCGCGCACUUGUAGGUGUCGGGCUUAUGCUUUACUACAAACGAUUCAGUUUUAGAAUGUCAUACUUUGCUAUAACGCAAUUUAUAUACAACUUUCAGCAACGGAUCUCUUGGCUCUCGCAUCGAUGAAGAACGCAGCGAAAUGCGAUAAGUAAUGUGAAUUGCAGAAUUCAGUGAAUCAUCGAAUCUUUGAACGCACCUUGCGCUCCUUGGUAUUCCGAGGAGCAUGCCUGUUUGAGUCUCAUGGAAUUCUCAACCUUCGGCUUCAUUGACGAAGGCUUGGACUUGGAGGUCGUGCCGGCUCUCGUAGUCGGCUCCUCUGAAAUGCAUUAGUGCGAACGUUACCAGCCGCUUCAGCGUGAUAAUUAUCUGCGUUGCUGUGGAGGGUAUCUUAGUGUUCACGCUUCCAACCGUCUUCGGACAAAUUUCUGAACUCUGAGCUCAAAUCAGGUAGGACUACCCGCUGAACUUAAGCAUAUCAAUAAGCGGAGGAAAAGAAACUAACAAGGAUUCCCCUAGUAACUGCGAGUGAAGCGGGAAAAGCUCAAAUUUAAAAUCUGGCGGUCUUCGGNCGUCCGAGUUGUAAUCUGGAGAAGCGUUUUCCGCGCCGGACCGUGUACAAGUCUCUUGGAACAGAGCGUCAUAGAGGGUGAGAAUCCCGUCUUUGACACGGACUACCGGUGCUAUGUGAUGCGCUCUCGAUGAGU